rnacentral:rRNA from 1 species
GAUGAACGCUGGCUACAGGCUUAACACAUGCAAGUCGAGGGGAAACGACGGGGAAGCUUGCUUCCCCGGGCGUCGACCGGCGCAUGGGUGAGUAACGCGUAUCCAACCUGCCUCUGACUGAGGGAUAACCCGUCGAAAGUCGGCCUAAUACCUCAUGGUAUCGUCUGCGGGCAUCCAACGACGAUUAAAGAUUUCAUCGGUCAGGGAUGGGGAUGCGUCUGAUUAGCUUGUUGGCGGGGUAACGGCCCACCAAGGCUACGAUCAGUAGGGGUUCUGAGAGGAAGGUCCCCCACAUUGGAACUGAGACACGGUCCAAACUCCUACGGGAGGCAGCAGUGAGGAAUAUUGGUCAAUGGGCGAGAGCCUGAACCAGCCAAGUAGCGUGCAGGAAGACGGCCCUAUGGGUUGUAAACUGCUUUUAUGCGGGGAUAAAGUGAGGGACGUGUCCCUCAUUGCAGGUACCGCAUGAAUAAGGACCGGCUAAUUCCGUG